CGCGUAGGCCGUUGAGUUAGUUAAUUGUGAAAUCCCAAAGCUUAACUUUGGAACUGCAAUUAAAACUGCUCGACUAGAGUUUGAUAGAGGAAAGCGGAAUACAUAUGUAGAGGUGAAAUUCGUAGAUAUUAUGUAGAACACCAGUUGCGAAGGCGGCUUUCUGGAUCAACACUGACGCUGAGGCGCGAAAGUAUGGGUAGCAAAGA
rnacentral:rRNA from 1 species